rnacentral:rRNA from 1 species
UGGGGGAUAUUGCACAAUGGGCGAAAGCCUGAUGCAGCGACGCCGCGUGGGGGAUGAAGGCUUUCGGGUUGUAAACCUCUUUCGCUAUCGAACAAGGCCCGCUUAGGGUGGGUUGAGGGUAGGUGGAGAAGAAGCGCCGGCUAACUACGUGCCAGCAGCCGCGGUAACACGUAGGGCGCGAGCGUUGUCCGGAAUUAUUGGGCGUAAAGGGCUUGUAGGCGGCUUGUUGCGCCUGCUGUGAAAACGCGGGGCUUAACUUCGCGCGUGCAGUGGGUACGGGCAGGCUUGAGUGUGGUAGGGGGGACUGGAAUUCCAGGUGUAGCGGUGGGAUGCGCAGAUAUCUGGAGGAACACCGAUGGCGAAGGCAGGUCACUGGGCCAUUACUGACGCUGAGGAGCGAAAGCAUGGGUGGCGAACAGG